rnacentral:rRNA from 1 species
UACAGAGGUCCCAAGCGUUGUUCGGAUUCACUGGGCGUAAAGGGUGCGUAGGCGGUCGGGUAAGUCUGGCGUGAAAUCUCCAAGCCUAACUUGGAAACUGCGUUGGAUACUAUCCGGCUCGAGGAAUGGAGGGGAGACUGGAAUACUUGGUGUAGCAGUGAAAUGCGUAGAUAUCAAGUGGAACACCAGUGGCGAAGGCGAGUCUCUGGACAGAUCCUGACGCUGAGGCACGAAAGCUAGGGGAGCAAACAGG